UUGGAGAUCCAAUUAGAAAUAUAUCAGCAUACAGUCAAAUGAAGCCAUCUCCUAGGAGUAACAGAUGAAGUCUAACAGAAUAGUAAGGAUUUUGAGGCAAAACAGAUGAAGUCCAAAACUCAAAAGCAACAGGAUAGCAAGGAUUUUGAGACCAAGAUGAAGUACAUCCUGCGGACUUAUAGACCAACAUAAAGUACAUACUGCUGAUUUACAGAUCAAAAUAAAGUACAUUCUGCUGAUAUACAGACCAAAAUAAAGUACAUUCUGCUGAUUUACAGACCAAACUAAAGUACAUUCUGCUGAUUUACAGACCAAAAUAAAGUACAUUCUGGUGAUUUACAGACACUUGCAUGGGCUGCUUGUAAUAAAAAGUGUCUUAAGAUGAUAGCCAA